GAUGAACGCUAGCGACAGGCCUAACACAUGCAAGUCGAGGGGCAGCACAUGAGUAGCAAUACGAUGGUGGCGACCGGCGCACGGGUGAGUAACACGUAUGCAACCUGCCUUCUACUAUGGGAUAACCCGUUGAAAGACGGACUAAUACCGUAUAAUACAGGGGCUCCGCAUGGAGAUAUUUGUUAAAGAUUUAUUGGUAGAAGAUGGGCAUGCGUAUGAUUAGAUAGUUGGUGAGGUAACGGCUCACCAAGUCAACGAUCAUUAAGGGUUCUGAGAGGAAGGUCCCCCACACUGGUACUGAGACACGGACCAGACUCCUACGGGAGGCAGCAGUGAGGAAUAUUGGUCAAUGGACGAGAGUCUGAACCAGCCAAGUCGCGUGAAGGAAGACGGUUCUAUGAAUUGUAAACUUCUUUUGUGCAGGAAUAAAGUGGGUUACGUGUAACCUUUUGUAUGUACUGUACGAAUAAGGAUCGGCUAACUACGUGCCAGCCGCCGCCGUAAAAC
rnacentral:rRNA from 1 species